rnacentral:pre_miRNA from 1 species
GGUCCCUGCCUUCAAGAAGCUUACAUUUUAAUGGGGGGAGACAUCAUUCAAAUAACUAUGCACACACACAAAUAUAGUAUAUGCACAGUUAUUUGCAUGAUGUCUUCAUCAUUAGAGUGUAAGCUUCUUGAAGGCAGGUUAU